AAGUUGUUCUCAGAUUCUCCCCCAACUGUGACAUUUGAAGAUGUAAAGAGAUUAGAAUUGUUUGGUCGUGAAGCAGGUUUCAAAGAGCGGAUUGAAGAUCCCAAACCAGCAGGACGCUCAAUGGAGAAAAGCCGGGAUCCAUCUGAGGUGGUAAUUGUAACAUUGCCACCAUCUGAGGGAGCAGCUGUUGAUGCUUUCAGAAGAGCUGCCAGUGAAGCAGCAUCAAAUAACUCUUUUCCACCCCCUUCCUCGUCAGUGUCCACUUCUUCAUCCGAGUCUGUGACAAUCUGGCCAUCAAUUCUCUGUGAAUGAUCAUGAUAACUCUC
rnacentral:lncRNA from 1 species